AGCUUUGCGCAGUGGCAGUAUCGUAGCCAAUGAGGUUUAUCCGAGGCGCGAUUAUUGCUAAUUGAAAAAUAACUGAUAACUC
rnacentral:snRNA from 1 species